rnacentral:lncRNA from 1 species
UUGAUCAAUUUUUGUUCUUAUCGGUCACUCUGCUAGCCAAGCUCCUCGCCAUGUUAAAGGAAAUAGGUGUCCCCACAGCUCUUUUGGGGUGACUGGGCCAGUUUGAACUCAUGGGCAGUCAAAACACUGUUUCACUAUCCAUGAUAUUCUGGCAUGAAAAGCUGCUCCAAACAAGGAUCCAUUGGCUUCAACACUAAGGGAAGGGAGCAGUUUGCAGUGAGAGUUGUUCAGAUUAUGUAAAAGAAAGAGGACUUGGAGUUGCCGUGUGGCUCCGUGGGUUAAGGAUCUGGCAUUGUCACUGCAGUGGCUCAGGUUGCUGCUGUGGUGCAGGUUUGAUCCCUGGCCAGGGACCUUCCACAUGCCGUGGGGGAGGCCAAAACAAUGAAUUAAUUAAAAGAGGCCUUAACUAUACUUCAAUAAACACAAAAAGAAAGAAAAGAAGGAAGGAAGAGAGGGAGGGAGGGAGAAAGAAAAAGAGAGGAAGGAAGAAAGGCAGGCAGGCAGGCCUUGAUGUUGAGCAGAGGCCAUGAGGAGCCUGAGCAGGCUGAAGCUGCGCAGAAUCAAUGGACACACAGACUGUAAGAAAAUACUGUGAGCAAAAGGUGGGAGAGGCGGUUGACAGUGAAAGAGAAUCAGAGAUGCCUAGAGGGGCAAACCUGCAGAGACUAAGCAGAGUAUGUUCCAGAAGACCCAGAAGCUCCGCCACCUGAGCUCUCAGAACGCUCUUGGCAUCUUGAUGUUUCCCAUUUCCAGGUUCCUUGAGCCUGGCUCUGACAGGCUCUACCCUUCCUGAAGCUGGAGUGUCCUGCUUUUCCUGGGUUCUCUGAGACUCGACCAUAAGGCUAAGACCACUGUCUGCUCCUUUCUAAAGGACUAGAUACAGCACAUUCUUCAUCACCUGAGGUGGCCUGAGCCUUAUUCUUAGUAUCUCGCGAGCAGGACUCGAAUGGUCACCUUGCCGUGAGGGCUUUGCCUCAGCACGGAAGGUGGGAUGGACACAGCUGAGCACCCUGGAAAAGGCAGGGUCUCCCAAGCACCCUGGUCUGACCUGCGGGCCAGGAUCUCCCACACAUGCGCUGAGACUUCCAGGCAAUUUACCUACUUCUGAGACUCAUCCUUCCCACCUCGAAAUGCUGUGGCUCAUGAUUGCUGCGGUGGCCAAGAAUGGUUUAUGUCAGCAGCUAGUGUGGUGCCUGACACAGCACUCAGUGCAAGUUCCCGCCCUUCCUUCUCUCAGGAUGCUUCCUGUCUUGUGCGAUAAACCCUAACCCACCUAGCACCCUUUAGGGGCAGCUAUGGAUAAAAUCGCCUGCUUCUUGUCUCCCUGGGUUCUGCUAUUUAAUUAUUCUGUGCUCCACAUUUAAAGAGUGAGAGUCAAUCUGGUCCAAACUACAAACAUGGAUUUGGGGGUCAGAGUUUGGGCCCAUUUCAUUUGCUAGCUACUGAGAGUUUAUUAGAAGAAAAUGGUAAAAAUCAACUUUAAUUUUUUAAAAAUGUUUAAAAAAGAAUAUUUAUAAGAAAAAGCAAAAUGUAACGGUUUACAAAAAGAAGAAAAUAGUAAGAAGCCCAUUACAAUGCAACCAGUUGAGCAGGGCGUUGGGGAUGGGGAGUUAUCUUUCUUAUACCUAUAUCGUCACACUGCCAUCAGCAGAUAUUUACUGAACUGCUGUCUGGCCAAGAGAGGACCACAGCACUGCAUGUGAUGAAAUUGUGGCUCAAAUCAAUUGAAUCAUAGCAAGUUUAUUUCGGGUUUCACUUAUUCAGGAUGUGCAAAUGUAUGCUGGUUAUUUGAACAAUGUACUUAAACACUGUAAAGAUGGUACUUAACUCUUUAACCAGAGCUUAACCAGGACUAAUUAAGACUUAGUCUAAAAGUGUCUCGUGUACAGGGAGGGCCAUAGUGUCCUGCAUCUAGACAGGGCUUAUUAAGUAUUUGUGGACAAGUGAUUCAAUAGCUGCUCUGUCUGCCACAGGAACCAACAAACAUCUGUAAAUCUUGCUGAGCUCAACUGGAGUAUCACUAUAUAAAAAAUAUGUGGUGGUAUUGCGAUUAUGGCAGGACCAAACUACCCUAAAAUUGUACACUGAAAAGGCAUCCAAACAUGUAUUUUUCCUAAGAAACUAAUCUGACGAUUUUCCCUGCUUGGACCUCUUUUUCCUGCAAGCCUUCAGACUAUUUUUUAAAAAAGAGAUCUGUAUAAAUCUCUCUGGAGCUUUUCUCUCUAAAUUCUUUGUUUUCUAAUAAUCUUAGAGAAGUGGCUUUCUGUGCCCUGCUGACCUCCUUCUCCUAAAACAAAACAAAGCAAAAAGCAAAAUGAAAACACAACCCAGAAAACUUAGCAUCCCCUAUAAUCUAACUAGGCAAUGGGAAAUAUGCACAUUCCACAAGCAUCCUCAAUUUAUUUCUUAGGCAUAAAAGAUAAGUGCAAGUGUAAUUAUCCCACCAACUUUAAGAUCUGCCUUAAAAAAAACCAUAAACCACAGCAUCAAUUAUUCUCUAAGGACAAUGAAAAGUGUUUUAUGAAAAAUCAGUGAGAAAACUUGAUAGAUCAUUCACCCUUCCUACCACACACAAAUGCUCCCCCCACCCCAAAUCUAUGCUAACUAAGUCCAUAAAUGCCAAGUUGAAUGAAGACUAACAUACCUGCUGCUGGAAGUUCACUACGCCUCUAGGUUAGGUCCUGGAAAGUUAGACAAGGUAGAGAUUGAUGUAGAAUCUAAAAUAAUAUUUACAUCCUCUGGGAGCCCUUGUCAUCUGUCAUGUCAUAUACACAUAGGUUCUGCGCCCUUGUCUAGAUAGUUUGGCAGAAUCUGUUUAAAUCAUCAAAAAUGUGGUUAAUUUAAAGACGUACUUUUCAAAUGGAAACGCUUCCUACGAGAAGCCCCACAGCAAGAGAACAAUCCAAAAUAGCCUGACUUAGGUGGCGUCCAAAUGCCGGUGCACACAGGGAGAAAAUGCCUCAUCAAGAAAAGGUCACGUUAAACUGGAAGAAUAAGACAUGGCCUGUGAUUACUCUCUCUCAAUUGACAUUUAGUUGUCAGGUAAGUAUCGCCAGACAAGCUAAUGGAUGGAAAGGAACAUCUUAAAGCAGAAGAAUCAAAGUUACUAAAUGCAUCCAAGAAAGACAAUGACUAGAACACUUCCGGUAGGAUCUAUACCGUGAAUCUGUGAAUCAGUGUCCUUAUACUGCUACAUUAACUAAAAUCCAGUUAUUUCUCAUGAUUAAAUGACUUGGGAUGGGGACCAAGAUGCACCAUUUUUCAGAAUUUCGUUUUUGAGACAUUUUUCUUCCAUCAUGAUCACCAUCAUCAGCCAACACUGAAGGGAUAACUGUGUAUUUCCUAUAACUGUGGCUUUCAUAUGACGAGGUGGUGUCCCUGCGAGCACAUUUAGGCUCUGUCCCUGCUGCUUCAGCUCCUAUUACUCUUUCUUUCUUUGGGAAAAGACCAUUCUGUUCCUUUUGGCAAUCCAUCCCAUGCUGGCCUAGAUUUGGUGUGCUUCGUGGCACCGUCAUGCCUAACAUGAUUCCCGGAUCUUACACGUCAUACUGCCUUCUUUUCUUCAUUCCUCUGGGACAGUGCUGAGCAGGUCACAGACUUUUGGCAGACAUUGCUGGAAGUGAAAUCAACCAAACACUUCUGUUCCUUAGGUUCUUUCCUUCCAAGAAUCCUCACUCUUCCUUUUCUGUGCCUCAGGCAAUGGUAACGCCAUCUUUCCCAUUAAGAAUCCUUACAGGAAAUGCCCCUUGUGGCUCAGCGGUGACGAACCCAACUAGUAUCCAUGAGGACAUGGUUCAAUCCCUGGCCUUGCUCAGUGGGUUAACGAUCUGGCGUUGCCGUGAGCUGUGGUGUGGGUCGCAGAUGCAGUUUGGAUCUGCUGUUGCUGUGACUGCAGCUCUGAUUCGACCCCUA